rnacentral:rRNA from 1 species
UACAGAGGUCUCAAGCGUUGUUCGGAAUUACUGGGCGUAAAGGGUGCGUAGGUGGCGUGGAAAGUCAGAUGUGAAAUCCGGAGGCUCAACCUCCGAAUAGCAUCCGAUACUGCCAUGCUAGAGAACUGGAGGGGGAUCUGGAAUUCUCGGUGUAGCAGUGAAAUGCGUAGAUAUCGGGAGGAACACCAGUGGCGAAGGCGGUUGCCUGGGGCUUUGCUGACGCUGAUGCGCGAAAGCGUGGGGAGCGAUCCGG